rnacentral:lncRNA from 1 species
UCGCCCAAGCGUCCGGAGACGGUGAGCUGGUGGCGACCUCGUGCGGUGAGCCGUAGAACAACUCGCCAAGGAAAAGUUCCAUUUACUCCCGUCGAGUUGCGA